UACGGAAGGGGCAAGCGUUAAUCGGAUUUACUGGGCGUAAAGGGUGCGUAGGCGGCUUGAUAAGUCGGAUGUGAAAGCCCCGGGCUCAACCUGGGAAUUGCACCCGAAACUGGCGGGCUAGAGUGUGGUAGAGGAAAGUGGAAUUCCAGGUAUAGCGGUGAAAUGCGUAGAUAUCAGGAGGAACAUCAAUGGCGAAGGCAGCUUUCUGGGCCAACACUGACGCUGAGGUACGAAAGCGUGGGGAGCAAACAGG
rnacentral:misc_RNA from 1 species